rfam:Schistosoma mattheei strain Denwood, Zambia genome assembly, scaffold: SMTD_scaffold0011645
UGCUGAGGAGUCCCAUACUAGGACGAAACGGCCGUCCAGUGC